rnacentral:rRNA from 1 species
ACCGGCAGCUCAAGUGGUGGCCAUUUUUAUUGGGCCUAAAGCGUUCGUAGCCGGUUUGAUAAGUCUCUGGUGAAAUCCCGCAGCUUAACUGUGGGACUUGCUGGAGAUACUAUUAGACUUGAGGUCGGGAGAGGUUAGGGGUACUCCCAGGGUAGGGGUGAAAUGCAAGAAGCCUGGGAGGACCAACCGAGGCGAAGGGGCCCGACCGGAACGAGCCUGACGGUGAGUCACGAAAGCGAGUGGCGCGAACAG